rnacentral:rRNA from 1 species
GGUCCAGACUCCUACGGGAGGCAGCAGUGGGGAAUAUUGCACAAUGGGGGAAACCCUAAUGCAGCGACGCCGCGUGAGCGAUGAAGUAUUUCGGUAUGUAAAGUUCUAUCAGCAGGGAAGAAAAUGACGGUACCUGACUAAGAAGCCCCGGCUAACUACGUGCCAGCAGCCGCGGGAAUACGUAGGGGGCAAGCGUUAUCCGGAUUUACUGGGUGUAAAGGGAGCGCAGGCGGCCUUGCAAGUCUGAUGUGAAAGGCCGGGGCCCAACCCCGGGACUGCAUUGGAAACUGCGAGGCUGGAGUGUCGGAGAGGCAGGCGGAAUUCCUAGUGUAGCGGUGAAAUGCGUAGAUAUUAGGAGGAACACCAGUGGCGAAGGCGGCCUGCUGGACGAUGACUGACGCUGAGGCUCGAAAGCGUGGGGAGCAAACAGGAUUAGAUACCCUUGUA